rnacentral:rRNA from 1 species
UACGAAGGGGGCUAGCGUUGUUCGGAAUUACUGGGCGUAAAGGGCGCGUAGGCGGUGUGUCAAGUCAGGCGUGAAAGCCCCGGGCUCAACCUGGGAACCGCGCUUGAGACUGGCACGCUCGAGUUCGGGAGAGGAUGGUGGAAUUCCCAGUGAUAGAGGUGAAAUUCGUAAGAUAUUGGGAAGAACACCGAUGGCGAAGGCAGCCAUCUGGACCGACACUGACGCUGAAGGCGCGGAAAGCUAGGGGGAGCAAACGGGAU